ACUGGACAUCGCGUGUCAAAAACUAUAACGUUUUCCUCCAGUGAUUUUCAGACUGUGGUGAGGUCAGUGGACCCGAGUCGGGAGAGGUUUUCUGUGCCUUGGGUCGGUGCCAAGCUCCGGUCUGGCCAGCCACAGCCGCGCGCACCGCCCAGUCUAGCGCUGACACUGGGGAGAAACAGAUGGCAACGUAAACUGAACUUGAACCUGAUCCUUCGUCCUGCGGGGUCAAGUCUGGAAUGUCGUGAUCGUGCCUGUUUUAGGCCCUGACUCGACAGGAGAGACGAGAGAGGGGGUACUGUGAGAGUAUGUGCGAGAAUGCCCGUGCCACAAUGAAGAGAAAGGAAGAAGAUGCGAAAAAUACUCAGAUGCCAUCCUGUGUGUUACAUAGUUCCAACGUAUUUCAUAUAUACCUUGUUGUCUCUACUUGACGUUGACCCUACCAUCUUGACCCUGAACCUUUACAAAAUUUCUCAGAGAAGGCCUAAACAAAGUGGUUGUUAGGAUGACCUUGAUCCUGUGACGAACUAGAGGUCAAGUUCAGGCAGUGUCAGUUCAUCCACGCCAGCUGUUGUAGCGUACUAACUCACGUAGACAUCCUUUGUGUAUAUAUACAAGCGUGCACAACAACGGCAGGAAAGAUGGACUGCCAAAAUGGUCUCAAAAUAGGACGUUUCCCAAAUCUCAGCAUCUGUGCAAGUGUGUGGAGAAACAACAACAUCCCAGGUGUGACAACAACGUUUCUAAGUGGUAUAUCAGUUGCAUAUUAGUAGCCUUAACUACAAGAAUUAAAAGCAGAGCAUAUGUCUGUCCCUCCCAUGUUUGCGACUGUAACAUUUUUGUUUCGUAUAUCUAGGUUCCUGUGUGUGGGUUAUGUUUGUAUGAUCCAAAAAUCACGAUGUACGCCUGGAAAGCCACUAGGAUGAGAGUAGAAUGUAAACAUGACACUUAUGUCCGA